rnacentral:rRNA from 1 species
AGUGGGGAAUAUUGGACAAUGGGCGAAAGCCUGAUCCAGCAAUGCCGCGUGAGUGAAGAAGGUCUUCGGAUUGUAAAGCUCUUUCGACGGGGACGAUGAUGACGGUACCCGUAGAAGAAGCCCCGGCUAACUUCGUGCCAGCAGCCGCGGUAAUACGAAGGGGGCUAGCGUUGCUCGGAAUGACUGGGCGUAAAGGGCGCGUAGGCGGCGGACACCGUCUGAUGUGAAAUUCCUGGGCUUAACCUGGGGGCUGCAUUGGAUACGUGUUGGCUUGAGUAGGGAAGAGGGUCGUGGAAUUCCCAGUGUAGAGGUGAAAUUCGUAGAUAUUGGGAAGAACACCGGUGGCGAAGGCGGCGACCUGGUCCUUUACUGACGCUGAGGCGCGAAAGCGUGGGGAGCAAA